rnacentral:rRNA from 1 species
AACACAUGCAAGUCGAGGGGCAGCGGGGGGGCGGCGACGCUCCUGCCGGCGACCGGCGCACGGGUGAGUAACGCGUAUGCGACCUGCCCCCCGCAGGGGGAUAACCGGGAGAAAUCCCGACUAAUACCCCAUAUUCCCUGGGGCUGCAUGGCUCUGGGGCGAAAGGGCUACCGGCGGGGGAUGGGCAUGCGUGGCAUUAGGAAGUUGGCGGGGCAACGGCCCACCAAUCCAUCGAUGCCUAGGGGUUCUGAGAGGAAGGUCCCCCACACUGGCACUGAGACACGGGCCAGACUCCUACGGGAGGCAGCAGUGAGGAAUAUUGGUCAAUGGGCGGGAGCCUGAACCAGCCAAGCCGCGUGAAGGACGACAGAUCUAUGGUUCGUAAACUUCUUUGGCGCGGGAGCAAAGUGGCCCAUUCGGUGGGCCGAUGAGCGUACCGCGAGAACAAGCAUCGGCUAACUCCGUGCCAGCAGCCGCGGUAAUACGGAGGAUGCGAGCGUUAUCCGGAUUUAUUGGGUUUAAAGGGUGCGCAGGCGGCCCUUUCAAGUCGGCGGUGAAACAUCGGGGCUCAACCCCGCGCAGCCGUCGAAACUGAGGGGCUUGCGUCCGGCGGAGGCAUGCGGAAUGCGUCGUGUAGCGGUGAAAUGCAUAGAUAU